rnacentral:lncRNA from 1 species
UGUUCUAACAUUUGAAUUUUUCCAGGAUGGAGUAUCAUUUAGAUGAGGAGUUGAGAUGGAUGGCGGGGAAAGCUACUUGGAACAGUAGCUUUGAGAGUUUUAGUGCGGUGUUGUAGCUGCUUAAUGAUCAUCACGGAGAUAUGCUGCGACAGUUCUUAUUGUGGCCACUAUACCAGAUACGAGAAAUGCAGUACCCAGGACAGAUCAUCGAUGCACUUCUAUGUCGGCUUUUAAGGCCAGUUGACGGUGAUUCCCUCCACUUCGACCUUGGGGGUAAGGUCGUCAGUUUCUCGAUUUAUGAGUUUAGCUUGAUCACUGGACUGAGGAUUACGGACGUCAAUACAGCCAUUGAGAGAAGCAAUAGGCUGUACGAGACGUACUUCCAGGGACAUGGGUCAGUGCAUCUAUCUGAGUUGAUGGUCGCGAUCAGGGGGUGCGAUCAGAUGCUAGAUAGAUUGAAGCUUCGGCUGGUCUACAUCCUCGAGAGUGUGAUGAGGUGUCAUCACAAGAAGACUGUCAUCGACAUUUUUCAUUUGGAAGUUGUUGACGACAUUAAUACGUUCAACAACUAUCCAUGGGGCCGGAGAUGCUACGAAGACAUCGUACAUGUCUUCACUAGAUUACACUCGAGGCCCAGGGAGUCAAUGCGUAAAUAUGAUACAUAUGGGUUGCUCUUAGCGGUGCAGGUAAAUGUUUAAUAUAAUUGAAGUUAAAGUUUUAGUAUAUUAUAUUUAUGAAUAAUAAAUGUAUGUGUUGCAGAUUUGGGUGUAUGAGACAGUCCCUGCACUGGGAGCUCGCUUCGCGAAGCGAGGGGAGACACGAUGACCUCGGAUGCAUCAUUGAAGAUCAUCGCGAGCGAAGGGAUGUCCCCACUGGGAAACAGUUAUCUGCCCUCCUCGACGAUCCUCACGUAAGUAUUAUGAAUUUGUGAUUUAUAUUAUACGUAGUUUAACUCCGUUUAUAUGAUCGUUAACUAGUUGAAAUGCCAAUAUGUCAGCUUGAAGUUAUACCUGAGUUGACGUCGUCGAUGGAAGAA